rnacentral:lncRNA from 1 species
AUGCGAGACGGAGGAGGUGAGUUUAUGGAGGGAAAAAUGAUCAUUGUUUCUGGUUGCAAUUUUUGGCAGGAAGACUUUCCAGUGGGAAAAUGCAGUUUUGGCAAAUUUGAUAUUUUUCUACAAGAAAAAAGUAUUUUUUUUUUUAUUCCUGUAGUGUCAGCUGUAGAUGUGCCAAACAACAGAAAGGCAGUCCCAAAGAGCUUCCAAGCGAAGCAUGUGACAGGACAACAGAUGGAUAUAAGCAGCUGCAAGGACACCAUGACAGGACAAAAGUCAAUCGAUUCUUUUUUAAUUGUGUUUCGUCACACGCAUCGUAAGGGAGAACUCACCAUCAAAAUGAUACAGGCAAAGGAUGGUGUGUUGUCCAUGACUUACACGUGGGGAAGCUGAGGCACGGAGCAACCAAGUGACUUGCCUAAGGACACAGAGGCAGCCUGUGGCAGAGCUCCCUUUCUCUCUCUCUCUCUCCCUCCCUCCACCCCCCUGAUUUGCUUGCGUCUCGGUUUAAACUCCCAGCACCUACAGUGAUCCCUCCAGCACCUAAGUCUUGGUCUUAAUAAGGCAUCUGCACCGCGAGGCCUUGAGAAACGUACCGUUACGUUCUGCAUGCAUCACCUGCCUCCCCUGCAAGGCUGCUGGUGUAGCAACCCGUUCCAUACGAGCACCUCUCGCUUCUGCCCAGGCUGAGCUGUUCCAGGAGUCGAUUCGUUUGACCCCGUGAAAUUCACCCUCUUGCCUCCUGCUGAACCUGGUGACUGUCUGCCCCGAUUGAAUGGCUCAGGGCAGCCAAGCCUUGGAGAGAAGCUUGAGAAGCCAUUGCUCUGGAAGACGUUGCAUCGUUCUGUGACUUGCGGCGGUUUCUGCACAUCAAGGACACAAAAGCUUUCAUUUGUUAGCGACGGGAGAUGCAAGCUCUUUGGGACAAGGACUGGCUUGUGUUUGUACAGCACCUAGCACUGUGGGAUCACAGGUCUGUGACUCAAGCUCCCAGGUUCCCCCUGGCACCCAACAACAACAGUCAUUAGCGCAGCAUCAUUUGCCACAAGCAAAUGCAAAACCGCUGGUGCGUAGCAUGUGGAAAGCCUGCCACCCCGAGCCCACAGGCCCAGUUUCUGGAUUUGCAUUAGAGGGGACAAUACUUGACUGUUAUGGUAUUCCACGACAGAGCCCGGAUCUGCGCUGUGAACGUUCACGGGCAGACAAGGUUCUUUGGGUAAAUCCCGUAUCUUUUAUUAGACUAAAAUAGUUGGAAAAAUUCUUCUUUUCAAGCUUUGGGGUAAAACACCCUUUGUCAGGCUGGGGAAGCAUCUGCAAGCCGUCUGUGCUCUUCCUGGAUGGGAUAGAAGAGAAACCAGAGGCCAGUACACAUGCAGGAAAGCUGGUGGGGGAUUUUUGUCCUGGAUUUCCAUGGCAGCAGGAUGGUACCUGGGGCAUGUGGGUUUUCUUGUGGGAAGAAAGUCUAGGCAUCUUGGCAAGGGGACAGGACUGGCCAUGGGUUGUUGGCAGAGCUCUCAGAACAGCCUGGGCAACAACUGGCCAGGCUGCAGGACUGCAGAGAAAGACCUGGGACUUACAGUAGACCAUAGGCUAAUACGACCCAGCCAUGUGCUCUUGCUGUUAGCCUUUUUUUUUUCUCUUUGCAGCAUCCUGGAUUGUGUUAAUGGGAGUGUCACAAAUUGAGGGAAGCAAUUCUUCCACUCUCUACAGCACUGGUGAGGCUCACCCUUGAGUACUGUGUCCAGGUUUGGACCCCCGCACUUCAAGAAGGAUGUGGACAGGUUGGAAAGAGUCCAGCCAUGGAAGCCAGAAAUGAUUAGGUGCCUGGGAAACAAGACUUAUGAAGAAAGGCUGAAAGGACUAGGGUGAUUGAAUCUGGAGAGGAAAAGACUGAGGCGGGAUUUGAUAACAGUUGUCAAAUCGCUGAAGCACAGUCACAAAGAGGACGGAGAUGGGCUUUUCUCUGUGACCAUAGGACUAGGAGCAAUGCCCUCAAGCUGCAGCAGAGAAAAUUUAGGUUGGAGAUUAGGAGGAACUUGCUUGGUAUGAGGGUGAUUCAGCAUUGAACAGGGAAGUUUUCGACUUUCCAUCCUUAGACAUUUUCAAAAGCAAGUUAGAUGUUUGACUGGGCUGGUUUAGCUGGGGCUAAUCCUGUCCUGAUGCAGCAGAUGACCUUGUGAGGUCCUUUUCAGCCCUGCUUUCUUGUGCUCCUAUGAACAGCUUGUGCCUUAGUGUUUCUCUGGCAAUGCCGGGACCUUCUGGUGGCAGCUCUGAAGUCGCUUGCAUUGGGAAGAAUGCAGAUUUCCUAACAAUCGCUAAGCCCUUUUCUGGGCUUUUCAUCUGUAGAUCAGCAUGAGCUUCGCUUGCGAGGUGGGGAUCAUCCCCAUUUCACUGAUAGGGAAACAGAGGCUUCCUCUUGCACAGGAAUGGUGCGAGCAGGAGUCUAUCAUCAGCAAGACGCUCAGUGGUUGGGGGAAGAAUAAACACCCUGAUGCAUCUGACCCA